UCUUGAAACAAGCGCGUAACAGGGUAGAAAGGAAAAAUCUGUGUUUAUGAAUUUGAGCCUUCAAUUCAAGAGUUAUUUCCACUUGUGUUCAUGAAUGAACCGUCCAAUAAAAGUCACGUGGUAAGGGCAGUUGCGACGGAAGUGCAGGUGAGAAGCCCGGAAGCAAGGUCCCUACCACACAGCAUGAACAGAGAGAACCCAGAAUGGCAGCUUUGCAACCUGAAGCCCCAGCUUGAACCUGGGCAACAAAAUGGCUGGCUGCCAAGAGGUUAAUUAUCCUAACUUCCUGCAGAGGGAAUCUUCAAUGAACACAGGCUGUAUGACAGAGAUCAGAGAAACACUACUGAGGUGGUGGGCAAGUAAAGGGUUAUAUCAACUCCCAAUGCUCAGCUACAGUUGGUAAUUUUAUAAACAAAUUUAUUCAUUUAUUUCUCCCAGGGCAAAAGGCAAGCCUAAGACACAGAAAAUAUUUUGUUCUUUAUUGGAAAAGGCCGUUGAGUAAAAAUUAUUUUUAUGGCUUAAGCAACGAAAAAAAAAAUAAGUUCAACCUAAAACUAUUUCAGAAGCAUUAGGUUAGUCCGUAUUAAGUAUAAUUAGAUUAAUUAUUGACUUGAUCGGGAAUAAACUAAGUUACCAUGCUGGAAUUGUUAACAUUAUUGUUACAUGGGAAAUGUCGGAAUAAAAUUAUAGCUGGAACAAAAAAACAAGGACACGGAAAAUAACCCCACUGUCAACCUAGUCUGAGGGAUCUCUGAGGGGAGGAGUAGAGAGUGAGGUUAGCCACAAAGGAGGUACAGUGGUUCUCACCCUUUCUAAUGCUGUCACCUUUUAAUACAAUCCCUUAUACUGUGGUGACCACAACCAUAAAAUAUAUUUCCUUGCUACUUAGCAACUCUAAUGCUACUGUUAGGUAUCUUAAUGCAAAUAUUAUAUAUGUGUGUGUGUGUGUGUGUGUGUGUGUGUGUGUGUGUGUGUGUGUGUCCCUUAAGGGGUUGCAACCCACAGGUUGAGAACCUCUGGGACAAGAGCUUGUUGGAAAAAAGCAUCCACUAUUUCUCAUGGUCAGAACUGCACAAUGGUGGAGCACCAGCUCGGUCUACACAGGACGCCGGGCUGGAUCCUUGGAUGUCAGACAAUGGAUUAUCAAGAAAUCUUAGACUAGCUCUCGGUUUCUCAUACAGAGAUCAAAACAUAACAACUUACGAGAGCCACAUGGGCAAAGGGCAGUGUAAAGGCCGUUGGUCCUCAGAAAAUAUCCAAUUACAGACUCAACCAAGCUCAGAAAAGGGGAACGGAGUCAGGAGAGCCAGGGAGCCUGGUGAUACCCAACAAUGUGGGAGAAGCAUGAUGAACUGAAGCCUCUGGGAGGCUAAUCAUGGAAUCGCAGCCCUCACCACCUGACGCGGAGCCACAUAUUUCAAACCACAGGCAGUUCCUGACCCACGGUGGGUCCACUUUCCACAUUUCCUCGUCACUCUGCUGUGACAGCAACAGGCACUGGGCAACUGGGAUUUUGAAUUCUGAUCUCUUCCCUGGCCAGCAGCAAUGCAUCCUUGGGUCCUUCCCUUUGUGACAGGCAGCACUGGUGAGCUACAGUUCUGAGCCAGCUCAGUAAUGGGGCAGGGGGACAAGGGAGCCUCCGAGGUACGCUGUGUCUCUAUGCUGUCAUCACUCUGUAAUGGCACUUUUUUGUUUGUUGGUUCUUUAGAGAUGAAGUCUUAGGCAUCCAAAGCUGGCCUUCAAGUGGCGAUUUUAUUGCCACAGUGUCCAAAGUGCUGAGAUUACAGAUGUGGGCCACCAUACCCAGCAAUUCGAUGCACUCCUGAGUUUGGUAUAUUCAACAUGUCAUGGGUUUAUUAGGACACAGCCUCACCAGUAUCAUCUUCUAUCAAUGGGUUUAUGAUCAAACACCACCUGUCAGAAGUCAUUUGUGUUGCAAUUUAAUAAGAUAACUUUCCCUAAUUGGUGUCCCUAAUUAGUUUUGGAAAAUUUGUACAUAUAUUUGUAUAUGUAUUUGUAUAUAUAUUUGUAUAUAUUUUGGAAAAUUUGUAUAUAUUUCUUUCCAACCUAAGAACAUUAAAAUUUUGCUUUCUGACUUGUAAGUAGCCAUGACUACUUCAGCAAAAUCAGGCAGGAAGAAAUGGGAAAGAGAAAAAAAAAUCAUACACCCAGCUCCAUCAUGCUUAGCUUACCUUGGUAUACAUUAGCAAAGCCCCCCCUGUUCUUUCAUUUUCCCCUAAAUUUCUCUUUUUCCCUCUUUCUUCUCCCUUGGUGGAGCAUAUCACAUACCACGACGUGAUAGCAGUCUGGUUUGUUUGUUUGUUUAAAACUUUGUUGUGAGACAGGCUUUCAGGGUGGAGCUCAGACUGGCCUCAACUGCAGGAGCGACCCCCACCCCACCCCACCUUGCUUCGACCUCCAAGAGUUAUGAGACACAGACAUGUGCCAUCUUGCCUAGGGAAUAGGACAUUUAUAAUGUGAAUAUUUUCACAUAUCCUGGAAGGUUUCAUAAGUCAAGCUUACUUUGUCCUACUCUCUUUUAGAGAUGAUCGUGCCAUAUUACGCCUCCCCUCCUGCAUUGCGGGAAUCUCAUUUAUCAGCUAAAUUGUAACGCGACCAUAGGCACAUCAUCCUCACCGGUUGGCAUAGAAUUCGGCUUUGUGUGCUUUCCCUUCCUUUCUCAGAGAAGGAAAUUGAGAGGCUCAACGCUGUUUUUGUUUGUUCUGUUCUGUUCUGUUUUGUUGUUUUGUUUUAAGGAGCCUGUCACAAUUUUAACAAAACCCACUUCACAUCAUGUAUACUAUGAGUAAACUACGAACUUGAUCCCCAGAAUCAAGAAGCCAAAUAGGAGGGAGUUCUGGAGUUUGGAAUCAAUGGGAGAGAAUGCACUGUCUGAGAUCUGGGCACAUUCGAUCGUGAGUGCCCCUUACAGAGGGAGCCAGACACUGCCAGGUCCCCAGGGACAGUUGGCAGUGUGGAGCUACACUAAGGAGGCAGGGGACAGUCCUGCAGUGAUGCUAUGGCGUUGUCAUCAGAAUGUCUCUCUUUUUAAUUUAUUUUUUGUUUUCCAACCGCAGUUCCCAAUUUACUAUCCUUCGACUCCUCCCAGCCUCCCCCAACCUUCCCUCUUCCCCAGAUUCACUCUUCCUUCAUUUCCCUCCAGAAAACAGCAGUCUCCCAGGGAUAUGGGCUGAACACUAUGUAACAAGGUACCGUAAGACUAGGCACAAAGCCUCCUAUCAGGGCUGGGGGAAGCAAGGCAUAGAAGGAAAAGAGUCCCAGGAGCUGAUGAAAGAAUUGAGAUAAUCCUACAUCCACUGCUAGGAAUCCCACAAAAACACCUAGCUAAAAACCAUUGUCAUAUAUGCUGAGGACCUAGCACAGACCCAUGCAGGCUCCAUGAUCGCUGCUUCAGUCUCUGUGAGCUGCUACGAGCCCUGCUUAGUUGAUUCUGUGGGCCUUGUUCUCCUGGUAUCCUCAACCCUCUGGCUCCUGCAAUCCUUCCUUCCCCUCUUCUGCGGGGGUUCCCUGAGCCCCAAGAGGAGGAGCCUGAGGGAGAUCUUCAGUUUGGGGCCUCUAUCCGCCUAAGGUUUGGUUGUAGGUCUCUGCAUCUGCCCCAUCGGCUGGCAGCGGAAGCCUGUGUGAUGACGAUCGGACUUCCAGGGCCUUCUCUUUCCGAGUCAUUUUUCCUUUCACUCCACAUCUCGGAGAUCUGCAAUCAGCAAUUGCAAUCCACAGUAAUCAGCAUCUGCACCACUGACUUUGAUAACAGCUGCAGAUGUUGACUGAAGCACAAUCUUCCCGUAUCCAGUGUGGAAAGACUUCUUUGUUCCCAGGCCUGUGAGCACACCUGCACUCACUAAUGGUCCUGUCAGUAGCGUGGCCUUCCAAUAACUAGGACAGUGUUAUGAUUUAUCUAUGAGGAUUAUCGUGUGACUACAGCACUCAGUUCUAGGUGCACCCCAUACAAGGAAAGCAUCAAAACUGUGUCUCCAAUGGAACUCUAUUCUCUAUACAUGGAAGAAAGCCCAACACAGUGAAUGCUCCAGAAGUACACCCUGAACGGAAGGCUGCAGGGAAGGCAGGAAGUAUGGACAUGACAUGGUGCGAAGAAUCAGAAGACUCACAAAGGCUCAAGAAAUCUAAGACCCUGAGACCAUUUACCUAGGAAUUUUCCCAGCACAGCUCAUAACUCAACAGGCUCUGGGGUCAUCGUGUAUCCUUAGCGGAGUAGAAUUAACCAUGCUCACAGCAGUGGCUGAGUCACCGUGAAGGUUGAAAUAGUUCAUUCUUUUAAAUGAGGGUGACAAGAAAUAUGAAGCACGCUAGGAGGAUGCUUCUAUCCAAAGUGGUGAAGAUGAAUAUUUCAUAGCCAGAGUCUGAGCAUAAUUUACUGGACAUAGUCAGAAAGUGCUUAUCGUCUACUGAUAUUAUCUAGAUGGAGAAAGCAAGACUUCAUUACACUUCAUGAGCAAUUACCUACUGCCAACCCCAGGCAAUUUACUUUACCAAUGAGUGUGUGUUCCUAAUUAGCUGUAACACUCAUCUGAACACUAACAAAAUUCUUUUCUGGAGAAAUUACAGGCCGGUGUUAUAUGUUAACAAGGACAUUUUCCUUCUGCACACAGUUAGCACUGCAAACAGAAGAAUUGUGGAGGCAUCCACCAGAGAGUAAACAGAUGUAAACAGCACAUGAGGAAAGAUAAGCAGAGGAAUGAGAAACACGUGUGCGGUUCCCAUGGGCAGAGUCGAUCGGCGGUCCACCGAGGUUUUCACGUGACACUGUAUGAACAUGGAUCCUCGCAACAGGGAGCUUUGUGCAUCCUACGUGCUCAGUACCCUUUUAGAAAAUGUUCUUUCGGGUUCCAGACAUGACUUGGUGGGUAAAUUGCUCACUGCACAUGAAGACCGGAGUUGGAGUGCCCAGAAUUUGUAAAGCUGAGAGACGGAGCACACAUCUGUAAUCCCAGACGGAAGACGGACAGCAGAGACAGGAGAAGCUCCAGACGUUUGUGGGCUGGCUAAUCUGACUUACACAAAACUGAACAAGAAUAACCAAGAUGUUCUGUACAAAUAAGGAUGAGGGGGAGGGAGGAACAGUGCCUGAGGUUGUCCUCUGACUCCACACUCCUACCAUGGCAUGCACGUGCCCCCUUCAGACACCCAGACACACACUCCUACACACAGACACACAGACACACACACACACACACACACACACACACACACACACACGCAUACCAUCAUCAUCACCACCACCCCUUCAUCAUCAUCAUCAUCACCAUCACCAUCACCAUCACCAUCACCAUCACCAUCACCAUCACCAUCACCAUCACCAUCACCUCUUUAAGUAUAAAUUUCUCGAGAACUAAGAACACGGCCUAUGAACGAAUACGUAAGCAGUAGCUUGGGGGCUGAGGGUGAGCUGUAUCUAGAUGGAGGGAGAUUUGAUUAUUUCUGUCAAGCUGACCUCACAGCAUUAUUUAUCACAUAAUUUGGAAAUAAAUCUGUUUUAGCUUCAGGGACACCAAAGGCAGCAUUGUGUCAUCCAGGACAAUCACGUGGCGCUGAGGUACGUUUCCACAGAAUGUGAGCCAGGCUGGCCUGAGAGCCAAGCACCAACUUAAACUGUGCAUAAUAUGCAGUUUGGAAUAAUUCAAAAAUAAGGCUCAGGGCAGAAGUAUACCCAGAGGGAAGGACCUUUCAAUUAUCAAUAAAAAAUCCCAGAGGACCAUACCCAUAAUGAACAAGCAGUCAGUUCUGCAAAAGUCACAUGACACGGGAGUGGUGGCAGCACAGACUGCUGUGCCCCUGAUGCCUCGGCUGGAGCUGGGCUUGGCACAUGCCUCAUCCUAUAUGUCAGCUCCAGCCCGUGAGGGCUAGAGAAGCAGGGGGAACAGACCAUGCUUAGGACAAAGAAAACCUUGGCUCUUAAAACAGCUGCACCGAAAUGCUGGGUUUUAUGCAUGUUUACCAUAUGAGUCUUUGAAUAUUCAAACCCCACCAGAUGCCUGGAUGUGUCUUUAUGGCUACCCAGAGAAUAGACGUUUGAUAAGAGGGCUACUCCACCCAAGACAGGACAGGAGUAGGAAACUCGAAACUUCAGUGAAGUUGGCAAGAAGCCAAAUGUCAGCUGUUUCUCUGCCUUUCCCAUACGGCAGGAGGCAUUUCACACCGCUUUCCCUAAUUUCUAUAAAUCUGCUAAAUGAUAGGAGUCCUCUGCAUGCCAAGAGACACAUAAGAUGGAUAUCAAAAUAGAUGUCGGGGUUGCUGUAUGACAAGAACCAGACUUCAACAGCUGAAGCGAGCAAGUCAGGCCUGGCCUUGGUUCAGCACCAACGGGAGCGCUAGCCAGAGCCUUUCGUGGUCUUUCUGAUUAUUUUCCUCUUACUUCACUCUUGAAUCAUAUUUCUUCCAUAUUUGUUUACUCCCCAAGAACUCUGGACCAUCUCAAUAGCCUCUUCCUAUUCAUGCCCCUACCCCCAUGGCCCACCCCCAUCACCUGAAGCCUGGCUGGGUUCUCCAGGCAACUGAGGCUACAGAACAUUAGGACUCAGGAAUUCAUUUAUCCAUUCAAUAAAUAUUUAGUGAGUGCGAGCUAUGGGCCAGGACUCGUUUCAGACACCGCUGCACUCUAAUGGUGGAAGAGUCUCCACAUAUAGAGAGAGGCUGACAAAACUCAAAUGGUCAAGAGUCUAUGCAACUUGUCAGGUGGUGAUGAACAAUGGUGUCUAGAAGACUAAGCCGUGUGGGCGGGCAGGGAGUAAUUGGAGGUCAUCAAUGGUUUUGAUGACAAGAUGGCAUGUUAUCAGAGACUAUGGAGAACUGAGCGCAAGAUAUGGGGAUGGGAUCUCUACUAAGGUCCUCGGGUGCUGAUUUCUUUUGUACUGUUUACUCAAGGAAAAGCAAGGAAGAGACCAGAGCAGAGCAAGAGCAUCCUCUGUUCAACCUCCUGUAGCAAUAAAAAGAAAAGGAGUCGGGAAAGCAGAAGACGACAAGGAAAAGACCAGUGGUCCUUAGGAGAAGCAGCCAAAGUGAAGGGUAAGAGUGAAAGCUAAAAGCUCAAAGCUGGACAUUGUCAGAGGCUUGAAUCCAGCGCUGUCUGGCUUACACUGAUUGCAGUGGUUCCUGCUAGAGCAGUGGUUCUGGACCCGAUCCCCAACCAUAAAAAUGUAUUUUCAUUACUACUUCAUAGCUGUAAAAUUGCUUCUGUUGUGAAUUGUAAUCUAGACACCUGAUUUUCCGAUGGUCUCAGGCAACCUGACCCCAACCCCACAGGUUGAGAAACACUGUAUGGUGACUACUCUGGAGACAGGAGGAGAGGCCGGAAGGAUUCUUCAGUCUUAACAAGGACAGCGAUCAUGGCUGAAGGGAGCAGGAAGAUCCAGAAUUUAUUGACACAGAUGUCAGGAUGAGAAAAGCUUAAAGUCGCUUCAUGUCUGAGGUGGAAGGCCUUGUGCUGUAACAUUACCUACCACAGCCAGACGAUACGACCUACCACAGACAACUGACAACCCAUUCGAUAAAAUCUCUUGUGUACCCCAUGUUAAUACAUGGGAGGGUGAGUGGAGCCAGGGCCUGUUAGGUUGGAGGUCUCUGGGCUAUGUCUGAUCCAGUUGUUCUGGAACUUUCCUAGAAGACUCAGCCUUUCUAAGCUUCCAUUGUGAAGUGUUUUAUUUUGAGACAAGUCUUUAUGAAGCAAAGGUAUAACUUUAAUUUUUUUCCAAACCUUAUUUUUAAUGAUGGUUCUUAAAUGCUUUAAUCUCCCUUGUGGCCCACCACCCACCAGAGGUGGUGGAAAAGAAAGGAUAUGGGGGAAGAGGACCUGUUUAGAAAGGUUCUUUGGAGCAACUCCUGUCUGUGUUGUCUGGAAAUUGGCGGUUCAGUUCACAGGUCAGCAGCAGCAGCUCGAUCCACUCAACAACACCUCACAGAUACACCAGCAGUCCAGUUCGGUAGAGUUGGGAUAGCAAAAAGGAAUCAGCAGUGGUGGCCAGAACUUUUGCUGUGCCUCUCUCAGUGAAGCGAUCAGAGAAGACCAAACAUCACGUGUCCUCCACAGGUCUAACCUUAGCACACGUAUCUCAGCUGACAUCCCUCUGAAAAUUGGCCAGAGCCCCCAGAAGCUGCAAGAAACUGCAGCACAUCACCAGAAGAUUUUGGUGUGUUUCUAUGGAGUCCCAACAAAUGCAGGUCAACUGUGCAGUGUAAGGCGGGACAGUACACAUGUGUCGUUAGUGAAGAAUCCUUCAUCACGUGUCCUUUCACAUGCUUGCUUUAGCAGAACAUCCUUUCUCCUGAGUCUGCUUCAGCUAGACCUUUCAUCAUGUGUUUGCUCCAGGAAAACACCAUUCAACCGACUUUCCAAAGAACCCUUAAGUUUCCAUUUCACAGGGGCUAGCUUUGAGCUCCUGGUUUUCCUGCCUCUACCUUUCAUGUAUUGUGAUUGUUAUUAUGAUUAUUAUUUUGAGUGGCGUGUGUGUGAGUGCAUGCAUAUGUGUGUGUUUGUGUGUUUGUGUGUGUAUGUGUGUAUGGUAUUUGUGUGUGCUAUGUGUGGUAUAUGUUGUGUGUGUGUGGUAUGUGUGUGGUGUGUAUGUGGUGUGUGUGUAGUGUGUGUUGUGUGCUGUGUGUGUUGUGUUUGAGGUGUGUAUGUGUGUGUGGUGUGUAUUUGUGGUGUGUAUGUGUGUGUAGCGUGUGUAUAUGUAUGUGUGGUGUAUAUGUGGUGUGAGUGUUUGUGUGGUGUGAGUGUGUGUGUGUGUGUGUUUAGAUAGGUAGGUAGGAGGAUAAUCUCAGAAAUGUUAUUUGUCUCCUCUAAAACAAGGUCUCUCACUGGUUUGGAAAUCACCAGUUAAGGUAGACUGACUGACUCUCCUAUGUCUUUCCAGAAAUUAUAAAUGUAUCACCACGCCCAACACUUUUUCUUUUCUUUUUUGGCAUUUUGAGACAGUGUCUCCUUACAUAGCUCUGUCUAUCUCCUGGAACUUACUAUGUAGAACAUGCUGGCCUCGAACACAAGAGAUCUGCUUGCCUCUGCCUCUCAAAUGCUGGAAUUGAAGUAUGUGCCACCAUGGCUCUUCAUGCCUGGCAUUUUUUAAUGUGGGUUCUGAGUAUAGAACUUGUCUCUUCACUUAAGGUGUGUGCUCCCUAAUGAAGUCACCACCCCCACCCCCACCCCAGCUUCUCAUCAUGUAACUCUUUUUUUUUUUAAUUUUUUUUAUUGUUUUGGUUUUUUAAAAUUUAUUUAUUAUUUAAUGUAUGUGAGUACACUGUAGCUGUCUUCAGACACACCAGAAGAGGGCAUCAGAUCCCAUUACAGAUGGUUGUGAGCCACCAUGUGGUUGCUGGGAUUUGAACUCAGGACCUCUGGAAGACCGGUCAGUGCUCUUAACCGCUGAGCCAUCUCUCCAGCCCAUGUAACUCUUUUUAAUGAGUGACUUUUUCCUGAGGCUACUUUAUUUUGUUUUUAAUAAAAAUAGAAUUGUA